GGAGUUAGCCGGUGCUUCUUCUGUGAGUGAUGUCCUUCCUGCCGGCUAUUAACCCGCAGGCCUUCUUCCUCACUGAAAGUGCUUUACAACCCGAAGGCCUUCUUCACACACGCGGCAUGGCUGGAUCAGGGUUGCCCCCAUUGUCCAAUAUUCCCCACUGCUGCCUCCCGUAGGAGUCUGGGCCGUGUCUCAGUCCCAGUGUGGCUGAUCAUCCUCUCAGACCAGCUACGGAUCGUCGCCUUGGUGAGCCGUUACCUCACCAACCAGCUAAUCCGACAUAGGCUCAUCCGAUAGCGCGAGGCCCGAAGGUCCCCCGCUUUCCCCCGUAGGGCGUAUGCGGUAUUAGCCUGGGUUUCCCCAGGUUAUCCCCCACUACCGGGCAGAUUCCUAUGCAUUACUCACCCGUCCGCCGCUCGCCACCAGGGAGCAAGCUCCCCGUGCUGCCGCUCGACUUGCAUGUGUUAGGCCUGCCGCCAGCGUUCAAUCUAAGCCAUGAUCAAACUCUGA
rnacentral:rRNA from 1 species